CCUGUUGCACAAAAGUAGAAUUAAGACAUCCGGGAUAAAUGACUCAGCUGAGCUCAAUGAAGCCAAAACAUGUGCGUCCAGGCUUAAUUGGUUGCACAAAGACCAAGCCAGGAUGAGCAGACACGGAUUCAUUAAGCCAGGUGAAACCAAUCCUGGAUAGGUGCGCGCUCACGGCUCACUCAAAUAGACUCCGCCACAGAUCACAGAUUAACUGAUUUACCAUGGCAACUAGAGCCGCGUACUUUUCCCCGUCGGAAGCACAAAUCCUCAUGGAGGCAUACGAGGAGGUAAAAGAUAUAAUUAAGAAGAAAGGCAACACCGCCACAGUGAUAAAGCAAAGAGAAAAAGCGUGGCAAAGUAUUGCAGACCGCCUGAAUGCGUAAGUAGUGCACAAUUACACAGUCACCGCUCCGCUGAAACAUCACAAUUACAAUUCAAAUAUUUAAUUCACAUCUCCAAAAAUGCAGUUGUACUGUAAUUAUGAAACGGUUAAAUUUUUAAUUGAAAUGCACUGCAGAUAUGAGUGAAAUUGUGUAAAGUAACUCCAUCACACUGUAUAAAGCUAUGAUAAAUGUUUUGAUAUUUUUACUGAAAACAAGACAAAAAUACCAAGUAAUUUUUUGCAGUGUGACUCAAUUAAAUGUGUGUGUGUGUGUGUGUGUGUGUGUGUGUGUGUGUGUGUGUGUGUGUGUGUGUGUGUGUGUGUGUGUGUGUGUGUGUGUGUGUAGAUUAAACAUGAACGGGCCAAAACGGACAUGGCAGCAGGUCAAAAUCAAAUACAAGAACAUUCUGCAGAAUGCAGUGAAAAAGAAUACCCACAGACAAGGCACGGGUGGUGGGUCACCAAAGGCUGACCUUACCCCAGCAGAGGACAUGGCCUUGGAGCUAAAUAAAGGCAGGCCCGUCUUAGAGGGGAUCCCUGGGGGGAAAGAGACGAGCAUAGGUUCCUCCCAAGAUGCCACCCGCUUCAUUCAAGUGUCUGGCAGCACUGUGUUCCUGUUAGAGCCACCAGCACAAGCACCAGACGAUGCUGAUCCAGGUGAAGGCCCCAGUGCAGCAGCAACAGCACAUGAUGGAGACGAUGAUGAGGAGGAGACCAUCUCUCUGGAUUCCAGAAGGCAUGAGGACCCAGAUGCUAUACAGUGGGAAAACCAGCCUGGCAACAGUGCGUAUUAAUAAAAGGACACCACAUCCUGCCAAAUUCCAGCUGCGCUAAUUGUAUUGUGUUCACAGAGCUCACAAGCUAUCAGAAAGUUGUAUGGCAACCACCUCCGGCGCCAAAUAGAACUGGCAGACAUAGACAUUCAGUACAAGAAGAAAAAGAUGGAAAAUCUUGCACUGGAGUCCGAAAAAAAAAAAGAGGACAAUUAGGAAACUGGACCUUGAAAUAAAAAAACUUGAGAGGGAGGUGAGAUAUGCCUUCAAUGUACACUGUAUGCUAACUGUAACACAAAUGUAUUAAUCAUUAUUUUUCUU